rnacentral:rRNA from 1 species
AAUCAACGCUGGCGGCGUGCCUCAGACAUGCAAGUCGAACGCGAAAGUUCCCUUCGGGGGGCGAGUAGAGUGGCGCACGGGUGAGUAACACGUAGGUAAUCUACCUUUGGGUGGGGAAUAACAGCCGGAAACGGCUGCUAAUACCGCAUAAUGCAGCGGCUCGACAUCGAGACAGUUGUUAAAGCGGGGGAUCGCAAGACCUCGCGCCUAAAGAGGAGCCUGCGGCGGAUUAGCUUGUUGGUGAGGUAAUGGCUCACCAAGGCAUCGAUCCGUAGCCGGCCUGAGAGGGCGGUCGGCCACACUGACACUGACAUACGGGUCAGACUCCUACGGGAGGCAGCAGUCGGGAAUUUUUGGGCAAUGGGCGCAAGCCUGACCCAGCAACGCCGCGUGAAGGAUGAAAUCCCUCGGGAUGU